rnacentral:pre_miRNA from 14 species
GAUACUUGACGGGGAGGCUGUCUGUGCUGUCUUCUCUUUAUUUUUGAUGAAACAUACAGGGGAACGCGCGUUAGUCCC